GGAGCCCGUGGCUGGAGGUGGGGGAAACUAAAAAGCAGGGUAACAACCUAGGAUUUGCACGUGGAACCUGAGUGGAGACGCUUCCCUAGACCUGGGGAGGAUUGAGGAUCCUGGCAGCCACACAGUUGCCAUUCCAGGCUUGUGUGGGAGAAGAUUGUUGUGCGCCUGUGUCUCUCCGCCUGAGCGGCUCCAGCCCCUAGUUUAAAAAGAGUCACCAUUUGUCAAGAAUUAAGCUUAUUACCUGGCCUACUCAUCUCACACAAUCAAGAUAAUGAUAUGUAAGACUGGUAACUCUGAGGGACUGUUCAAAUUUCAUAUUAGUAUUGCAGCAACUAUAUUUCUAUGGCUGGUAGGAGGGUAACAACUACUCUGGAAAAUAGAAAUAAAAAAACCUAUAUAAUUGAGCAAUAAAAUGAAAUAAGAUUCAUGUUCAAAUUCUGGUAAUUUUUUAUUAUUAGAUUAUUCCUGCUUAUUAUAACAUAUCUAAGUAUUAAAGGAAUCUACAUUACUGCAAAGUGCAACAUCAUGGAAGUCAAUGGUGCUAGGUAUUUAAAUGAUGUCACUAAUUUUUUUUCUCCUUUAUCUCUCCCUUUUUUCUACAUGU